UACGUAGGGGGCAAGCGUUGUCCGGAUUUACUGGGCGUAAAGCGCGUGUAGGCGGCUUGGAAAGUCGGGUGUGAAAGCCCUGGGCUCAACCUAGGAAGUGCACUCGAAACUGCCGAGCUUGAGUUCUGGAGAGGAAGGCGGAAUUCUCGGUGUAGAGGUGAAAUUCGUAGAUAUUCGGAGGAACACCAGAAGCGAAGGCGGCUCACUGGCCCGAUACUGACGCUGAGGCGCGAAAGCGUGGGGAGCAAACAGG
rnacentral:rRNA from 1 species